rnacentral:lncRNA from 1 species
UUAUUUCAUAUACAUCAUAUCAUUAACGUCACUACAAUAUAUUUUUCUAUAAAAAUUCCAAGACUUGCUAUCCAAACGGGAACUUAGUUUCUUCAUAUAUUUAAAAGCUAUUCAAUUUCCUGAAAAUUGUUAUUUAACUGCGAACCCAAAAUUAGGCCUAAGCAAGACAACAUAUGGGCUCAAAGAGCAGUGCGAAUAUACGAUCCCUAGGCUCAGAAUUUUGAUGGCCAUGGCCAUCUCCAUGCUGGUACAUGC